GGGAAAAUCGUCAUGAUCAGGUUC
rnacentral:siRNA from 1 species